UACGUAGGGGGCUAGCGUUGUCCGGAAUCAUUGGGCGUAAAGAGCGUGUAGGCGGCCCGGUAAGUCCGCUGUGAAAGUCGGGGGCUCAACCCUCGAAUGCCGGUGGAUACUGUCGGGCUAGAGUGCGGAAGAGGCGAGUGGAAUUCCUGGUGUAGCGGUGAAAUGCGCAGAUAUCAGGAAGAACACCCGUGGCUAAGGCGGCUCUCUAGUACGGUACUGACGCUGAGACGCGAAAGCGUGGGGAGCGAACAGG
rnacentral:rRNA from 1 species